UGGGGAAUAUUGCACAAUGGAGGGAACUCUGAUGCAGCGACGCCGCGUGAACGAAGAAGGCUUUCGAGUCGUAAAGUUCUUUUAUAUGGGAAGAUAAUGACGGUACCAUAAGAAAAAGCCCCGGCUAACUACGUGCCAGCAGCCGCGGUAAUACGUAGGGGGCUAGCGUUGUCCGGAAUCACUGGGCGUAAAGGGUUCGCAGGCGGAAAUGCAAGUCAGGUGUAAAAGGCAGUAGCUUAACUACUGUAAGCAUUUGAAAAUGCAUAUCUUGAGAAGAGUAGAGGUAAGUUGAAUUUUUAGUGUAGCGGUGAAAUGCGUAGAUAUUAAAAAGAAUACCGGUGGCGAAGGCGGCUUACUGGGCUCAUUCUGACGCUGAGGAACGAAAGCGUGGGUAGCAAACAGG
rnacentral:rRNA from 1 species